rnacentral:pre_miRNA from 1 species
UACAGUUGUUCAACCAGUUACUAAUCUACCUAAUUGUAACCAGUUGAACAACUGAACC